rnacentral:rRNA from 8 species
AGACCCGAAACCCGGUGAUCUAGCCAUGGGCAGGUUGAAGGUUGGGUAACACUAACUGGAGGACCGAACCGACUAAUGUUGAAAAAUUAGCGGAUGACCUGUGGCUGGGGGUGAAAGGCCAAUCAAACCGGGAGAUAGCUGGUUCUCCCCGAAAGCUAUUUAGGUAGCGCCUCGUGAAUUCAUCUCCGGGGGUAGAGCACUGUUUCGGCUAGGGGGCCAUCCCGGCUUACCAACCCGAUGCAAACUGCGAAUACCGGAGAAUGUUAUCACGGGAGACACACGGCGGGUGCUAACGUCCGUCGUGAAGAGGGAAACAACCCAGACCGCCAGCUAAGGUCCCAAAGUCAUGGUUAAGUGGGAAACGAUGUGGGAAGGCCCAGACAGCCAGGAUGUUGGCUUAGAAGCAGCCAUCAUUUAAAGAAAGCGUAAUAGCUCACUGGUCGAGUCGGCCUGCGCGGAAGAUGUAACGGGGCUAAACCAUGCACCGAAGCUGCG